GAUAAGGUGGCUGAUAAAAGCGGUUGAUUGUAAAUCAUCUUAUAGAUAAUUCUCCUUAUUA
rnacentral:tRNA from 3 species